rnacentral:misc_RNA from 1 species
GAUGAAGAACGUAGUGAAAUGCGAAAAGUAAUGUGAAUUGCAGAAUUCAGUGAAUCAUCGAAUCUUUGAACGCACAUUGCGCCCGCUGGUACUCCGGCGGGCACGCCUGUCCGAGCGUCAUUUCAACCCUCAAGCCCUCCUUCGGGAUGGGCCUGGUGUUGGGGCUCGGCCGCCAUCUCCGGCGGCCGUCCCCUAAAUACAGUGGCGGUCACGUCGCGACUCCUUUGCGUAGUAGAAACACCUCGCUCCGGAUAGCAACGCGGUCCACGCCGUAAAACCACCAAUUUUCAAUGGUUGACCUCGGAUCAGGUGGGAAUACCCGCUGAACUUAAGCAUAUCAAUAAGCGGAGGA